UGGGCUAGACAACAUCGGACAGCCUCAGAGAUGAGGUCUUCCCUUCGGGGACUGGUGGUUCAGGUGCUGCAUGGCUGUCGUCAGCUCGUGUCGUGAGAUGUUGGGUUAAGUCCCGCAACGAGCGCAACCCUUGCCUUUAGUUGCCAUCAGGUAAAGCUGGGCACUCUAGAGGGACUGCCGGCGUUAAGCAGGAGGAAGGUGGGGAUGACGUCAAGUCCUCAUGGCCCUUAUGCCCG
rnacentral:rRNA from 1 species